GGACAAGUCCGUCGGAGUGUGGUUAUUGUUGGAAGGGCAACCGACCAAUGAGGCCACCGUAAUCGUUCGGGGUGCCUUUAAUCGGGUGUCUCGGGCGGCCGACAUAGUUUACUUUGAACAAAUUAGAGUGCUCAAAGCAGGUGACUACCGCCUGAAUAGUACAGCAUGGAAUGAUGAAAGAGGACCUCGGUCUGAUUUUGCUGGUCUUUAACGGUCGGGCUUCGGCCCGGCCUAUGCAGACCCGAGGUAAUGGUCAAUAGAGACGGACGGGGGCAUCCGUACUGCGGCGACAGAGGUGAAAUUCUUGGAUCGCCGCAAGACGAACGACAGCGAAGGCAUUUGCCAAGAAUGUUUUCCUUGAUCAAGAACGAAAGUUAGAGGUUCGAAGGCGAUCAGAUACCGCCCUAGUUCUAACCAUAAACGAUGCCAACUAGCGAUCCGCCGGUGUUACUCCCAUGACUCGGCGGGCAGCUUCCGGGAAACCAAAGUCUUUGGGUUCCGGGGGAAGUAUGGUUGCAAAGCUGAAACUUAAAGGAAUUGACGGAAGGGCACCACCAGGAGUGGAGCCUGCGGCUUAAUUUGACCCAACACGGGAAACCUCACCAGGCCCGGACACUGGAAGGAUUGACAGAUUGAGAGCUCUUUCUUGAUUCGGUGGGUGGUGGUGCAUGGCCGUUCUUAGUUGGUGGAGCGAUUUGUCUGGUUAAUUCCGAUAACGAACGAGACUCUAGCCUGCUAAAUAGGUGCCGGGUUUUUACAUCUCCUCGCAAGGGGAGAGUGGAGUGUGUGGUUGUCGGGAUCCUGGGCUGUGGUGGUCGUUUAGGCUGCGGGGGGCAACUCUCGUGGUCUGGGCGGCUGUCAUAGUUCACCCGGUGUACGCACACUUCGCGUCCGGCAUUUUUCUUCUUAGAGGGACAAGCGGCGUCCAGCCGCGUGACAGUGAGCAAUAACAGGUCUGUGAUGCCCUUAGAUGUCCUGGGCCGCGCGCGCGCUACACUGAAGGAAUCAGCGUGUUAUUCAUCCCUGUCUGAAAAGACCGGGCAACCGCUGAACCUCCUUCGUGGUUGGGAUUGGGGACUGCAAUGAUCCCCAUGAACCAGGAAUCCCUAGUAGGCGCGGGUCACUAGCCCGCGUCGAUUACGUCCCUGCCCUUUGUACACACCGCCCGUCGCUACUACCGAUUGAAUGAUUUAGUGAGAACUUCAGACGGCUAUGUUUGUCCGGGGCAACCCGCGUCGAGCAGGGCUGAAAGAUGUUCAAACUUGAUCCUUUAGAGGAAGUAAAAGUCGUAACAAGGUU
rnacentral:rRNA from 1 species